AGAGUUUGAUCAUGGCUCAGAACGAACGCUGGCGGCAUGCCUAACACAUGCAAGUCGAACGAGACCUUCGGGUCUAGUGGCGCACGGGUGCGUAACGCGUGGGAAUCUGCCCUUGGGUACGGAACAACAGUUAGAAAUGACUGCUAAUACCGUAUAAUGACUCCGGUCCAAAGAUUUAUCGCCCAGGGAUGAGCCCGCGUCGGAUUAGCUAGUUGGUGAGGUAAAAGCUCACCAAGGCGACGAUCCGUAGCUGGUCUGAGAGGAUGAUCAGCCACACUGGGACUGAGACACGGCCCAGACUCCUACGGGAGGCAGCAGUGGGGAAUAUUGGACAAUGGGCGAAAGCCUGACCCAGCCAUGCCGCGUGAGUGACGAAGGCCUUAGGGUUGUAAAGCUCUUUUGGCGGGGACGAUAAUGACGGUACCCGCAGAAUAAGCCCCGGCUAACUUCGUGCCAGCCGCCGCGGUAAUAC
rnacentral:rRNA from 1 species